AAACAUUAACGUGGCUUCAUUUCCACAACUCCAUUAAUCAUAAUGUUUCUAAAAAUACCAUUUUCCACAGCUGACUGUCUACAAUGCAUUACAAGUGUGCUAAUUACUAUGUUUUUAGUUGCGCUCAAAUCACUGGUGAUUGUAGCCUCAUAUAUUAUCCCAUAUAUGCUCUCAAAGUGAAGCUGUAGAAAAACUCAUCUCUCCCACUGAGAUGGUAAAAAAUGAAUAAACUUUUUUUUCUUGCAAUGCCAAGAUCUGUGCUAACUCCAUCCGUCAUGUUCUUUUGCCAAAUCGGUGUUCGCUUCUUAAAAAUGCAUCACUCUCAGUUGACUUCCUUGCUGCUUGUAUGAGUCCCAUUCGUUGUUGUUAAAGGACAAAUGUGACAAAUUUUGUUUUACUUUUACAGGUUCAUAGAAAUAUGGAUGAGCCUCUGUGUUCCCAAUGGCUGCUUGUGGCAGUGGAGCGAUGCCUGAUGUGUGCUGGAAGUAAAUAAUGAGGAGACAGAUCCAUUAACCGUGGUGAGGAGCCAGCAACUUUCAGAGGGAGCAAUUUAAACGCAGUUCCGUGCCUUUCUAAUCUCUGCCCUUGAACACUAUCAAGAAAUUGAAGGUGAUGGACAUUUUGUAGACUAUCUUAAGCAGAGAAGAAAACUGGAACAGACACCAUGCUUAACAGGUGUGAUUUAUCACAAAGUGACAGAAGGCAAUGUUUGUCGACUAAGCUUUUUUUAAGAAUGAUCUACACCACUCCCAUUCUUAGACAUCAUUCAUUAUUCUAAAUGAAAGAAUGUGAAAGGUCACACAGAGAGUUAUACAUCAAUAGGAGACUUAAAAAAAUAAAAAUGAAGCCAAGUUGAAGUGGGCAGGGUUAACAAUGUCAUUUUCUGUCUGGAUUAAUUACAUUAACGGUAUCCAUAGAAACAUCCAUCAUUUGUGAGGAUGAAUCGAUUGCAGAGAAAUCAAAACAUUCUUUAUGGAGCCAUGAUGAGUCUAGUAUGAAUGGUCAAUGUUGAAUUCAUUUUCAUGUUUUUAAGUGUCUUCUCACAGGAAGAAAAAAAAAACAGCCAUUAAUGCCAUCACAUGCAUUCAAUGCUGAAUUGCAGCAUAGAAAUAAGUGGAAUGGAUUGUUUAAAAUGGUUCCCUUCAUAUGAGCAUUUCAAGACUAUUUUUAGAAGUUUGCCACUUGAGCAAACAACGAUAAUAAUAAUAAUAAAGACUUGAUUCAACAAAGCAAAGUCCUCUUUAAGUUCAAUUCCAUAAUAUUUAUAAUAAUAUUAGAAAUAGAAAUAAAUGUGGAUAUUCUAAAAGUAAAUGCAUUUUAGUUAUGCUUUGUGCCCAAAAGUGUCCACAAGGGAAAAAUGAAAGAGCCAUAGAACCCCCUGUCUCUGCAAAUAGUCAGGAAAGAGGGUGAGUCCAGCUUUGUUUAGGUGGAAGUGUCGAGGGGCGAAAGAGGAAAGGAUUUGCAUGAAAAUGGGAGUUUCUUUACAUGCGCGCUGAUUUUCAGAGCGGAAACACAAACGAAGGGGAAAAAGACAGUGACUACAUUUACA